rnacentral:rRNA from 1 species
UUCUAGAGUUUGAUCAUGGCUCAAAUUGAACGCUGGCGGCAGGCCUAACACAUGCAAGUCGAGCGGUAGAGAGAAGCUUGCUUCUCUUGAGAGCGGCGGACGGGUGAGUAAUACCUAGGAAUCUGCCUGAUAGUGGGGGAUAACGUUCGGAAACGGACGCUAAUACCGCAUACGUCCUACGGGAGAAAGCAGGGGACCUUCGGGCCUUGCGCUAUCAGAUGAGCCUAGGUCGGAUUAGCUAGUUGGUGAGGUAAUGGCUCACCAAGGCUACGAUCCGUAACUGGUCUGAGAGGAUGAUCAGUCACACUGGAACUGAGACACGGUCCAGACUCCUACGGGAGGCAGCAGUGGGGAAUAUUGGACAAUGGGCGAAAGCCUGAUCCAGCCAUGCCGCGUGUGUGAAGAAGGUCUUCGGAUUGUAAAGCACUUUAAGUUGGGAGGAAGGGCAGUAAAUUAAUACUUUGCUGUUUUGACGUUACCGACAGAAUAAGCACCGGCUAACUCUGUGCCAGCAGCCGCGGUAAUACAGAGGGUGCAAGCGUUAAUCGGAAUUACUGGGCGUAAAGCGCGCGUAGGUGGUUUGUUAAGUUGAAUGUGAAAUCCCCGGGCUCAACCUGGGAACUGCAUCCAAAACUGGCAAGCUAGAGUAUGGUAGAGGGUAGUGGAAUUUCCUGUGUAGCGGUGAAAUGCGUAAAUAUAGGAAGGAACACCAGUGGCGAAGGCGACUACCUGGACUGAUACUGACACUGAGGUGCGAAAGCGUGGGGAGCAAACAGGAUUAAAUACCCUGGUAGUCCACGCCGUAAACGAUGUCAACUAGCCGUUGGGAGUCUUGAACUCUUAGUGGCGCAGCUAACGCAUUAAGUUGACCGCCUGGGGAGUACGGCCGCAAGGUUAAAACUCAAAUG